rnacentral:lncRNA from 1 species
UCGUCCAGGCAGAUGUCGUUAUUCACAGCAGGGUUGGGGUACUUGGGGUACCGCGCUAGGAAUUUGUGGCAUAGCAACCCCAAGCUCUUCUCCUUCCGACUCGGCUGGGAUUUCUCAAAUUCGUCUCCUGAUAAGUGUUCCUGCAGAGGGAAAGGAGGUCAACAGCCUUCCAACAGCUCCGGGCUCCACACUGACCGUCCCUUCAUCCACAAGCCCCCAAACGCCACCCAGCCUCCCUGUAAACCUACGUGCAAACAGUCUCUAGCUUCAGGCAUUGCCUCUAGGCAGACCGCGCCAACAGACAGCAGUAAAUUCCUCCAUCAAACCCUUCUGUCACGAGACUUCAAGCAAACACAGAAUCUACAGUGACAGUCCUCUCUCAGGUUCGAGAUGGCUGUAGCAAGCACCCACCUGUGCACUGAUCCGGGCUGCGGACGGAGCGCACGAGCCCGGGUUCCGAUGGAGCACGCACCGAGCCUGCAUCGGGGGAGAUGCUGAAGUUUCUCGCCUGACACACACGUGCACAGGCUCAGAAGGAAGGACUUGUGAAGUGGCCUGAGAACAACCCUCCAAUUCAGCCUCUGCGCUCUAAGCGCACGACCGGGCAUUUACAAAGGGCUUUGGGAUCUUGACCCCCUUUUUCAGGCUUCUUUCAAUACACGAAGUACUGGGGCGCUCCUCCCCACGGGCCCCGGCGGGGCGGGAGGCGGGAAACGGCCGCCUUCACCCUGGCCUUCCCGGGAUCCCACAACCCCGCCGCAGCAGUCUGCUCCCCGCUCACCUGUCAAUCCUCCUUCAGAGCUGACGGUCCGGGGUGGCCCCGAAUCCUGGCUGCGCGUCUCAGGGAGCCAGCGCGUCUCAGGGAGACUCGCUUAGCCCCGCCGCGCAGAGGUUCUUUUUGCAAACACCAUUUAUCCGAGAUCGAAGUUGGGGGAUGAAAUUUGGCUGGUCCAGAGCUGGCUGGCUAGGACUCGAGGGCUCCCCGCCAUCCCCAGCUUGGUGCCACGUCAACCGGGUCUGCUCACCUGCCCUCUGGACCCUAGCGACACCGUUCCCUCUGCGACCCUUUGCAUGACUGCUUAGCAGCUUCUGCUCCACGGUUUCCAGAAAGAAACGUGUGAGGAGGAAAGAGCUUCGUUGUCUGAAGCCCAAGGAUGCGGGGCGUUGGCCGAUCUCUGAACACGCAGGUGUGGGAGGAGGGAGAGAAACUCAGAAAACCCGCCAAGCCUGUCCCCAGUGUCCUGCGUCUGCCGAUCCCCUCUUUGCUCUUUCCCGCUUUUCUUCCUUUUCCUUUUAUGAGCUUCUGACAUCGGCCUGGUAUAUCGAACAGGUCAAGGGAAUUUUAGAGUUAGGAGACCAUCUCGUCCAAAACCCUCAUUUUGCAGAAGUGGAAAAAGAAGCUCGGCACCCCAACUAUGCCUUUCCGUGCUCGAGUUCUUUUGCACCCGCCUUUGCCUUGUAACAUUUCCCCUUUUCUGAUCACUCUGGGAUCGCCCGGACCGCAUGUUGCCCAACCCGCUUACAUCUAAGAUUGUGGUUUGGGCUCUUCCUGCUUUUAACUUUGUAUCUUCAGCCUCCAGAAGGACUCGGGGCCACGCAGUCCAAGUCCCAUCACUGAGCUUGGCCAUCAGUAAGCUAACCAUCACUGACUUCAAGGGAGAUACUGUGUUUUCCUGGCGGUGGUUAGGGCGUGGAUGCCAUAACACCGCCCCGGGAUCCAGGUGCAAAGGGAAUGCACACUGGGCAGAGGUCUAGGUGAUGAGCCAGGGUCUUCUUCCUGAGGGUGGCUUCCAAGAUGCUGCCACAUCUUUGUGUCUCUCUGUUCAGUUCUAGUAGCUAUCAGAAGCUCCGGUGCUCAGGGUCACCCAAGUGUUCCUCAAGACCAGGACUGGACCUGAAUAUUCACGUGCUAUACAUAGGGGCUGGCUGGCUGUAGCAUCGGAUGUAAAAUAAAAAUCCGUCAUGAGGCAGGACAGGAUGCUUACAGAACAGAUACAUCUUUACUGAGCAGGGACUAAGUUUAAAUAUAUCACCAAGAAGUAGUGUGUGGGCUUCUGUCUAAGCCACUGUCUGUCAGGCUACUUGUCAAAUCUUUCACCUGUCAGUGCUUAGCGCUCCGAAGGAUUGAAUGAUGCCCAGCUUAUAUCCAGAGCCAGAAUUCAGGACCUCUACCCUACCCCCAAGCCCCCACCCCUUACCACUUCUUAUAUCCUAGUGCCUUGCCUCAGAAAAUUCUCAGGACAGCAAAGUCGGUGACUUGUAGUCCAGGUCACAGUCAUUUCCAGCCCUCCCUCAACAUGGGAGAAAGGGUGAGAUACAUCAUUUUUGUUUAGUGGUGGCUUCCCUGUCAGUUGUCAUCAAAGUCGUGGAGCAGAAUGAAAAAAUGGUGCUUCGAAGAGAGGUUUAAAGUCUUGACGCUGUCAGUCAUGAGACCUUGAAAAGGAAGCAAGGAUCUUGGGAUUUAGCUCAGGGCAGAGGGAUUACUUAACAGGCUCAAGGCCCCAGGGGUCAUCUCCAGCAUCAUACGCAAGUAUAGUGCGUCAAUUUGAAGUUUGGUGUGAUUUUAAAGGAAAGAUGACCGCAGAAUACCUUCCAGCUUACUGUGCAAACGAGGGGUUGGAGGACAAGCUUGAAGUCACUUUUCUUACUUUCCCUUCAAAUCUUAUUUUUUUGUUAUUGAUUAUAUAACCCAAGAAGAUUUCCAUGCCUUUGUGUCUGGUCAUAUGAGUUGCACAAUAGCUCAUAUCUCACUGAGCUGGGCCAGUUUUUCCACCCCACUGUCACUCUUCUGUGUUGUACAACUCAGAAGAUUGUGUAACAUAUUCAACAAUAAAUAAGUAUUAUGAAAAAAAGAUAUCAAAGGUAGGGGGAUGACGGAUGUCAUCUCAGGUACUUAGAUUCAAAGGUAACCUUAGGGGUUUCUGAAUCGUGUCCCUUCCCAUAAUCAUGGGCAAGUCCUCCCCCAUGGCCAGGAUAGGAUGAGAGGCUAAGGAAAUGUUUUUCUAUUGGUGGGUUCUGAGACCUCUCUUUUUCACAGUCCCUUCCUCCCAGGUCCUUCAGUGACUAGCUGUAUGUCUGUCCAGCUUCCUGUAGAGAUUGGAUUUUAGCCUUUGCCAUAUGCAUUGGCAUAUCCACCCAAAACCAGCUGUUGGGAGCAUUAAAUCAUACCAAUCACCACAGCUGUUCACAACCAGACCUCAGCCCUCCCUUGUCCCUGGAACAAAAAUGGUUACUUUGUGAAUAAGUGGUAUCAGACUCAAAUUGAAAGUGUUUCAAGACAGUGAACAGGAGAGCAAGGGACCUAGGAGAUGGGAGAGCUGGCACUGGUCCUGGGCUUGCUGGCUGUGGAAGCAGGACUUGGUCAGAGCUUGCCCUAGCUAGAGCUGAAAACCUGCCUGUUAUACUCGCUGUGGGCAGCUCCUCCCUGGGCCUGGGCACAUAUCUGCAGCUAGGGACUCGGCUGCAGCAGCUGCCAUUGUUGCUGUUUAUUGAGCAAUUACUGCCCCUGCAGUUUUAAGAUGCCUUGAGGAAACAACAUAAAAUUCUAAAAGGCCCCCCUUUUUUUUUUAAUAGAAGUGGAGUCUGAAUUCUGUCAUUGUGUGAGUGUGCGUAGCAUCUACAACGGUUCUAGAACUGAGGUCACGUCCUCUUGUGCUUAUCAGGAGGGUGGAAGGACAGUUUUCCCAGUUCCAGGACACGGCAGAAGCCAGGGCUGCGUUUUGCUUAAAGCGUGGAAGCGUGGUGGGAGGAUCAUCUGUGUGGAUCCCCUCCAGCCAGAUGCCUCACAUCCUGUUGAGCACAGAAUCCCUAUCCUGGUAGGUGCCCUUCUACUAUGGACUCCUCCCUCUGACCCCCACCUUGUGAUCCCAGAGAACAGGAGAGAGAAGACUUUGUCCUCACUUGGUCUUCCCAGCAUCUAGCCCUGACCAAGGAGAGGAAGGGCUCGGUGAACACUGAUUGGCUAAGGUUCUACCUUAGCAGGCUAUCCUACCAAGUAGCGAGGAUGCUUUUCUCCCCGCCUGAAGCGUCAAGUGCAAUUGUGAACACGCACCAAGUGCUCAGUAAGGGAUGUGAACCUGUUUUGUACAAAUUGGUGGCUUGUUUGGGUUCUUCAGAAUUGUGGCUUCUGAUUCACUGGAGGUGGCUGUGCCCCUACCCCGCAACCCCCUGAAGUGGCUGGCAUUGGUGCAAAUGAGGCUGUUGAACCUGAUCGUGUUCUCUCUGGCCUUGGACCUGAGUGCUGCAGAGAGAGAGAGAGAGGGAGACUCUGAUGGCUCUGAAGAUCAUGGCCCUUCCCAUAUGAGGUUCUAGGCAGUAUUCCUGAGCCGGUCUCUUGCUCACUCCCCAGCCCUUUUGAAUACCCCUUUUCGGUAUGAAUUUGAUGAUCUAAUUUGACUAUCUCUCAAAUGCUCAGGUGUGUUACAGUUUUACUCUUCACUGUAUCAGUUUGUCACACGGUUAAGAGAGCAGGAUCUACCCUUCACUCGGGGUCAUUCUCUGCAUCCUAGCUGAUGUUCAGUGAAAGCUCCAAGGGUUUGUCAAUGUGGAAACUGGUUGGCAGUCAAUCGAUGGUCUCGCAGCCACAGUUAGAGAUGAGCUGCAUCUGGGUCUGCCCAUGUGCUUUUAGAAUAGGCUGAACUUUAUAACACAUUCAAUCUUUGGAAUAAACUGCCACCGUUUUAUUGUUAGUUGAACUAUAUACAAGGUUGCUGGGGUAGGAUAUUUCAGGGGCAGAGUGCUUGCCUAGCAUGCAUGAGACUGUAGGUGGACUCCAUCCCCAGGACCAAAAUAAUAAUUUUAUUCAUAGAGGAAGAUGUUUGCCUGGGUUCAAUGCCCAACAACUCCAGCUUUGGAGGAUCCAAAUGCUUCUGUCUUCUGAGGUCACUAGCAUGGACAUAGCCCCUACCACACAUGUACACACAAUUAAAAAACAAAGCAUAGGAUUUGGAGUAAAACAGACUUUGCUUUUAAAGCCCCAUAAUAAUAUUGCAAUGCUGUAGACAUGAACACUUUCUCAACAACCCCCAUACACAUAUACUGAAAGAGAAAUUAAAAUAUAACCCUGAGUGGGCCUUACAAGGAGAAGAUGAGUUAGUGCAUGAAAAACAGCAGUGUUUAGCAUGUGCUAAAUAAAGAAAGCUGUUAUAUAUUGCCAUGUGUAAUCUAAUCCAAAACAAUCCAUACAUGUGUGUAUCUGGAUUUGCCUUUAAAAAAAAAAAUGUUCUAAUCACCACAGCGAGGCAGCCCCACCCCUAACCCCUAGGGAGAGGUUACAGAGUUUGUUAUAGGUCCAGUGGUUUAAAUCUGUGAGCUCAGACUGGCCUCAAACUCACAGCAGUCCUCCUCCCUCAGACUUCUGAAUACUGGGCUUGUAGGGCAAAUUUUUGGUGAAUCUUUUGGAGAGGAAAAUAUGUUCAAAGAGAUACUGGACCACAAAAGAGAUCACAGGAUUUGCUUCAAAUCAACGGAAACGGCGGGAUCAUGAUGGCAACCUCAUGUCCCUGUCUCACUGCGAAAGAGGUCAGUACACGAAGAGAACGGAGCGCAAAGCUUGGCACGGUGUGCUCGCUCUGUAUGUUUUCCCUGCAUCCGUAUAACAUCUCUCCCGGAUGCUGUUCCUCAAUGCCAGGAAGACCUUUAACCAAGAAAUGCUCAACACUCUUGCCGUGUGGGUAAGAUGGCUUGGCAGACAGAACUCAGAACAAGGAGUCAGGAGUUCUCAUUCUGUUUCCUGUUGGCUGAUAAUGGGCUCUUGGGACCUCUUCUUCACCUGUUAAAAAUAGAAGCAACUGCGACACCCUCCUCUGCACUCUCACAUCUCUUACUCGCCUUCCCAGUAUCUUGCAGCAUCCCUAUGGGCUGUUGUUACUAAGCACCCAGAACAUCCCACCUUGUGUAAAACAUGGCUUGGUUCUCUCAGCUUUGCCAAACAGGAGCGGCAUUCUACUAUCAACGUCGGCUUUGUACCUGGCACAAGUCUGUGGGGACAUACUAGAAAGGCUCUCAGGUGCUUAGGACUCUUUGGUCAACACUCAUAUGUUGAAACCCACGUGUUGGUUCUCAAACCAUAAAGACUGUGGCUCAUUACAAGGAAGUUUAAAAGUACUGAGCGAAAGGAAACCACACAAACACCAAAGAACAAAGCGAAACAAGACAAAAUUCUCCUGCCUGAAGUUUUCUCUGACUGUGUGUAUACAGGGUAUAUUUCUAAAAACAUAAGGAAUUAAAAGAAGAGGCUCCUGGAAAAGCCGUUAAAAUG